GGUUGUGGCUCAGUGGUAGAGUGCUUGCCCCUAGCAUGUGUGAGGCACUAGGUUCAAUCCCUGGUACCA
rnacentral:tRNA from 1 species